rnacentral:lncRNA from 1 species
CAGAGCUAUUGGAAUCUUUAAGGUACUAAGGAAAUGAAUAUUGAGACUGGAUGAAUAGGAGGAUCCAGGAAAAUAUUAGUUUUCACUUGGGACCCCUGCAGGAUGCCACUGCAGGAUGGUAAGGGUAAGUUGAAGCAGAGAAGACCUCAUGGAGAGUGGAAAUGAGGCUGUACAAACAGUCCCUGACUCACAAUUGUUUGACUUACAUUUUUCCCCAUUUUACAAUAGUGCAGAGGUGCCAUGCAUCUAGUAGAAACUACAUUAUUUUGAAUUUUGAUGUUUUCACAGGGCGUGGUACUCUUGUGAUUCUGGGCAGCAGCAGCACACGAUGGAGAGGGGCCACAGCUGAUGCUCUGUGGUGUGUUCCUAGGACAUGAUGUUUAGUAGGUGAGGUGUGUUAAAUGCAGUCCCACUUACCAUGGGUUUACGGGGACCUGGGCCCAUCAUGGGUCAAGAAGCAUCUAUAUUUAUUCCAAUCCCCACCUGAAUUGUAGUGGUCUGUUCCUAACCCAGCUCCACAUCAGGAGCUAAAGAGAACCCUCUCAGGAAGGAGAUAACAGGAUCCAGAGCCUCUGUAACUUCCCAUGGGUACAAAUGUAUGUGAAUUGACAACAUUCAAUAAAAAUGUAGCAGCAUAGCAAGAGAUGGGAUAUAUCAAGAGUCUGGAAAAAGAGAAGAAAAGACAAUGGAAACAUACCUCCAAAAAUAGGUGAAUCCACCAGGAAGAUAAAACAAAUGGUCUGCUCCUGGUAAAACAGGUCUUCAAGAAAUUGUUAUGUUGGAGAAGCACAGAGAGGGGUGUUUCUUGAUGAUAAAGUGGACUCUAGACAACAGAUCUGGGCCCUGCAGAACCACAGCAUACAUAGGCUAAGGAGGUAAGGAGGGAGACAGCUUAGGGACACUAUGGAUUGUGAGAAAUGAGUGUCCUUCCCCUCAUGCUAAUUCCCUUAUAUUAUUCUCAGAUCUUAAGCAAGGUGUUUUGAGCAACACUACCUGAAUAAGUUUAUGCUUUGGGAAUUAAAGGAAGAGUUGUGUCAGAGUUCCUACAUGAGGUGUCCUGAGGGGUUUACCUGUGUGGAAAGGAUCACCAAGAUGGCACAUGGAAAAUGGUGGAAGGCAUCAUAAGCAGGCACACGUGGUAGAUUCCUUGGUAAAGGACUAGACUUCUGUAGUCAGGUCACAUAGAGUCCUGGGUUCUGAUAUUUGAUUAUGGCCUCUAAGAGGCUGAAAGCUUGGAACACUUGGGCUUCUCUUAGUCUGAACAUCAUGUUUACUUUUUUGGGAAGAAUUUUCCAACUAUCAAGUAAAAAGAUUGCCCCAAAGGAGAUAUGAUCCCACUGUGACCAAGCAGGAGUUGAUGGCUACAGAUCCUGAGGAAGGACUUCCUAUUUCAGAGGGAGAUUUCUCAGGCAAGCCUGUUCUAUCCACAUGCUGGACAUUAGUAGAGUUCUAAUCUUUUAAACUAAAAAUGAGAAAAUCAUUCUGUAAAUAUGAAAAGGAGGUUAACUGUGUGGCUUGAGGAGAACUUCAUGAGAGAGUCACUCUCUGCCUGCUGUGACUUGGAAAGUCUUGCAGUCCAGGGCUGCUACUCAAUGGCACUUGGGGCAAAAACAAAAGGCAAGAGCAGAGGACCCAGGGGCAGCUGAUAUUCUCUAGGGACUCAAGCCAUGCAUUCAUGCUGGCAUCAGAGAGAAGCCUGCAAAAGGAUACAUAUAUCCCAGUUUGGGGCAAUAACGGAGCAGCCUUAUUGCUCCCAUGUACAAGGCUCCAUUUGAAUACAUUCUGAUUUCAGAGGUGGUAAUAUUAUUUUAAAGUGUGUCUUUAAUCACUGUCUUCAGAGGCCUAACCUAUUCUUUUGAGAAAAAGCAAGUCAACAACUAAUUGAGUUAAUAUUAAUGGAAAGAAAAUUUAUCUACCAACAACCACAUUAUUGAAAAGCAUGGCCCUGAAUUUCUAAAAUGUCUCUUCAGGAGAGUAGAAACUCUUUUGACUUUAGCUUUUUCUCUCAUACUGAGUGUGAUUGCUCCUCAUGAUUUUGCCACUACUAGCUGGAUCCACAGAGACCUUCACUUUAACCUGGCAUUACAAUGGAGCACUGUUAAGUUUUGUGAAAUGAAUUGCCAACCUGCAUUGAAUUACUCGUAGAAGGGUUGAUACAGCUACACAGAACUGUCAAAUUGAGGAUGUAUUCCAAAAGGGAAUUUUAUCAAAACUGUAUUUUAGGUUUAAAAAUUAGAUUUUUUUCUUGCUGCUGGACUACAGUAAACUAGGGAUGAUUGUUUAUUUCCUUGAAAAUAAUAAUAAAAAACAGAUCCUGGGUGGUUUUCCCUGGAUGGUGUGCCCACAGCAAAGUUUGAGGGUGUUAUGAUUUGGGUGAGAGGUGUCCCCCAAAAGCUCCCAUGUGAGACAGUGCAAGAAGAUUCAGAGGAGAAAUGAUUGGUUUGUAAGAGUCUUAACCCAGUCAGUGAAAUAAUCCCUUGGUAGGGAGUAACUGAGUGGUAAAUGAAGUGCUGGGGUGUGGCUGGAGGAGGUGGGAAUUGGGACAUGGCUUUGAGCAUGUGUUUGUAUCUGGCGAGUGGAGUCUCUCUCUGCUUUCUGAUCACAAUGAUGUGAGCUGCUUCUCUCUGCCACCCUCUCCUGCCAUGAUGCUCAGCAUCACCUGGAGCCCUGAGGAAUGGAGCCGGCCUUCUCUAGACUAACACCUCUGAAACUGUGAGCCCUCAAACUCUUCCUCCUUUAUAAUUGUGUUGGUCGGGUCUGUUAGUCAUAGCAGCAAAAAAGCUGACUACAACAGAGGGUACUCUUUGCCCAGGUCCUUUUGAAUUUCCAUAAUGAAUCAAGUCACCCAACCUCCCAAACUAGGAAAUCAAGAUAGUAAAAGUUAGUCACUCUCUGCAAUCCCAUUCUGUUCCAUCAAUUGACAGGCCCUAACAAAUUGGAAAAAAUUAAUUUUGUUUCCAUGCAUCUUCUCUCACUCACUUUCCCAGUCUUCCUUGAUGUUGACUUUUAUUCUCAGUCUAGUUUUCUUGACUCUCUGACAUCCAGAGUCACUGGCAUUCUCCUCUGAUCCCUUUAUGUCCACUCCUCAAUAAGGUCAAUUCACCUGUCCUACCCCUAGACGCACCCCCUGCUGGUGUAAAUGGUUUUGAAGACUUACAGUGAUGAGAUGUGUUCUCCCUGCCAGGAAAUAUUUCUAUUUAACAGAAGAUCAAUGGAGUAAUCCAAUGACUCUCAGCCCUACCUGAAGAGAAGAAUUUCCUAGAGCAAUUUUUACAAUUAUCAAAUUCCAAGGCCUCAUUCAUAGGUACUCUGAUUUAGUGCGUCCAGUACUUUUUUAAAAUCCUCUCCAGGUGAAUCUGUUGUCAAGAGGUGGGUAGGAAAUCACUAUUACCCCAAGGGAAGGAGAAGCAGGGUGGUUACAGGACUAGGUGGAGGCCUGCUUAGAAGGCUGCCUCAGAUCUGACCGUGUUGGUGACGGGCUAGGGGGCUAAACACCUACCUGUAUCCCCUUGUUAACUAAUAGGAGGAAUUUCCCACAAGCCUCAUCUAAUCAGAGAAUAGAAAUUAUUUUCCUCUGAUGAGCUGCCCACACCAAGAUCUUUCAGAUGCAGCUGGUCCCGUGACACAGCGCCUCCUCAGAGAUCUUCCUUCCCAGUACUUGGCCAUUUCUCCUCUUGUCCUCAGAGCCCAGACACAUCCAUCUUAUGGGGCCCCCAAAGAAACAAAUGAUAAAACUUUUUUUAUAUGUUUAUCCUCUUUAUUCCAUUAAAGUAUAGUAUAGACACCUGUCAGAGACAGAGAACAAACGAUGUCACUUGGCACUCCUGCAGAGCAGACAGAAGACUCUAAUUCCCAGCAUCUAUUUCCAGGGGCAUCUAUAAGGAUGUGCAAGUAGACCACACUCUUCUCUGUCACCGGCCAUCCUUGGCAAUAGCAGGAUUACCUCUGACAGGAGAUGCCCAGGAAAUUGUCCUUCUGCUUUGUACAUUGGCCUUACUAUCAUGUAAAAGUAGAACAGGGUAAGGCUGAACUGUUUUACACAUCAUCUGAAGAAAUUUUAUGCUCCAGAUUUACUUCCUAAUUAUAUUAUUUAUGUCCCAAACUGAUAGCCUUUUAAAAUUGCCAUUAUACAAGCAUCUUGAGUCAGUAUAAAUUGCCAGUGUUUGGUGAUAUAGCAUACUGCAGUCUUAGAAUGUUUCAUAGCAGGUUAACAUGCUCAAUGGCCCUGGUUAGGAAACUAGGGCUGGUGUUAAGUGGUCUUUGUUAAGUCCAUGUAGCCAAAGAGCCUCCAUAUGUAGGCACUAAGAACAGGAGCUUCCAGAAAACAAGGAAAGAUAAUCCAAAGGCAAGGAAAAGCCAGAGGAUUUUGAAAACAGGUAAGACAGACCAGCCAAUCACUGAUUACCUCUUUCACUGGCAUUUUCCCACUCAAGGAGACAACGGUGUGAAGUGGCAGUGAACUAGACUCACUAGUCAUAUGGAAACUACACAUUCCUUAGCAUAGUCACAUGAAUGGGACAUCUUGGAGACAUCUGAAUGUCUUCCCAAGUUGUCCUUUCCCUGUGAUGCUUACUCUGGACUCAUGAUCUUUGAGAACACAAGGAGAAGGCCAGGUCCUUCCCUGGCCAGCAAGCAAUCCUUUCCAUGUCUCCACAGUUUCUGUGGCUUCUGGGCUGCCACUAGGGACCCCUCCCACUUUAAGAUUUAGAUUUAUGAGGAAAAAGAAAGGUCUUGAAGUCUGUAUGGCUUUUCCCACCUUUGACCUUGACAUUGAUAUGUGGGUCUUUGCACUUAGAAUAUCAAUUUGCACACAAAUGGGGGAAAUUAAAGCAAAUGUCAAUUUAAUAUUCAUUAAAAUAUCUAGAAGACCAGUUAUUGCCCUUUACAAUUAGGACAAAUGACCAGAUUUGGUGUUCCACUCAUUUUCAUCCAUCAGUGUGGGCUGAAAUGCAUCUUUUUGAAUGACCUUUCACUUUUUCCAAAGCCUAAAAAUCUUUUGCUCAUCUUUAAAUGUUUUAUGAAUUUCUGAAAGUACCACCUCAUAAAGAACCUUUUAUAUGUUCCUGCUGUGCUGUAUCUUGUUAUGGCCAUGCAGUUGACUUGGUGCCAGAAACUGUCACAAAGAAUAUAUGCCUGUAUCUUCUCUUAAAAUUUGUAUAUCCGAGCUGGGUGAGUUUGGGUGACUGUAAGUGCUAAGAAUAUUGGUUUUAAAAAAUAACUCUGAUAAUGGCAAUAAAUUGUCAAACUCUUGAGCCUAAUUAAAAUCAACAGAAUGACAAACGUGACCCUUGCACUGUCUCAUGGCUUGGGCCUGCAAAGGCAUCCAAACAUGAUAUGUGUUGUGACGAAGGGAUUUCCUGGGUGAGUGUAUUUAUUGUUCAAUCUGUCCACUUUUCUUCCACCCUCCCUGAACAUCAAGAAAGGGGAGAAGCACACUUAAAUUACUCCUUUCAUGGUUUAAACUGCAUAGAUGCUCUUCCUGGGCCUUCCUCGUGGAUUCUCAGGGUCUAACUACUGAAGAAGAGCAGGUCUGAGAACAGCCACUCAAUCAUCUCCGCAGGUGACACCAGUGGGCUGCAGAUGCACCAGGCCAUCGCCCGGAUCAUCUCCCAAACACUGGCCUCAGCCCUUAGCGCCUUGUUUGCUUUGACCUCUGACUUAUGCUAUUGGCCUGGCUCUUUUGCUUACAAGCACUUCGGUUGUUAAAGGUUUGUUAGGUGUUUCAGGGAUGCACAGGGAGAGGCCAAGCUCCAUUAGAGAGCUUCAGGGAGGAUAUUCUAACCAAGUCUAAGGGAAAGGACAGCAGCAGAGUCUGUUUCCAGCCCCAAGAAGUGAAACACCAAGUGUCAUUGUCCUUACUGCCAGUGAGAUAUCAGGGAAACCACUUCCCAGAAUUCCAGCUCUUGACAUCCUACAUGUGUCCAUCCAAUGGCAUCUCAUCAGCCCUUCCUGUGCUCAAGUGUUGUCAUUUUGUCCUUCUAAUUACCAAGCUCUUCUUUGUUUUCUAUUUGAAUUUCCUUCCUCUGUGUUUCCUCAGCUGAACAUGCCAUCAUUUAAAAAUGCUCUUUGGAAGAUAAGGCAUUCAUCACAUGGGAGGGAGCAGGGUCUGUGUAUGAAUUACACACUCCUGGCUUUUCUAAAUAAUAAUCCUCGAAAUUUGAAUAGCAGGUUGAAAAUAACAUUCAACACAUGAUUGGAUGCUCACCAAAAUGUUACAAAAUAAACAUGGGAAACCACUGCAGAACCUGAGCUCCAGGUAGGCCUGUCCAGGUCCUGUUGCUGCCUGGUAUCGCCUUUGCCUGCUCCUUCAGUUGUGCCAGCCUCCCAGCAUAAGGAGGCACAAUCAUCUGACCCGUCAGCUCUGGUUCUGACACCCUGCUGAAGGCCCAGGAGCUGAAACAGUAGAGCUGUAAGUUACUAUGCCAGAGAUGUUCGGUUUUCUUUCUCUGAAACCUAUGAAAAUUUCUCAUUUUUGUAAGGAAUUAGAAUGUGCU